UGCGUAGGUGGCACUUUAAGUUGGAUGUGAAAUACCCGAGCUUAACUUGGGGGCUGCAUCCAAUACUGGAGAGCUAGAGUGCAGGAGAGGGAAGUGGAAUUCCUAGUGUAGCGGUGAAAUGCGUAGAUAUUAGGAGGAACACCAGUGGCGAAGGCGACUUUCUGGACUGUAACUGACACUGAGGCACGAAAGCGUGGGGAGCAAACAG
rnacentral:rRNA from 1 species